rnacentral:rRNA from 1 species
UAUGUGAUCGUCUCUUGCAUAUCAAUAAGCGGAGGAAAAGAAACUAACAAGGAUUCCCCUAGUAACGGCGAGUGAAGCGGGAAGAGCUCAAAUUUGAAAUCUUAAAGGGUUUCCCUUUACGAAUUGUAGUUUAAAGAAGUGUUUUCUGUUGAGGUUUUGGUAAAAGUUCUUUGGAAUAGGACAUCAUAGAGGGUGAGAAUCCCGUAUUUGACCUUUACUUUCAACUUUGUGAUACACUUUCAAAGAGUCGGAUUGUUUGGGAAUGCAGUCCAAAAUGGGUGGUAAAUUUCAUCUAAAGCUAAAUAUUGGCGAGAGACCGAUAGCGAACAAGUACCGUGAGGGAAAGAUGAAAAGAACUUUGAAAAGAGAGUUAAACAGUACGUGAAAUUGUCAAAAGGGAAGCGUUUGACACCAGUGUUGUUUUUCUGAAAAUCAAUUAAAGAACUGUUUAUGCUAAGUUGUUUAGACUUUAUCAGCUAACUGUUUAGUUUUGAGCUUUUCUUUAAUGCACUUUUCAGUUAACAAGUCAACAUCAAUUUCUUUUGCUGUAAAAAAGCUUGAGGAAGGUGGCUUGAGAUUCGUCUUAAGUGUUUAUAGCCUCUUGCCUAUGCAGUCGGAGAGAUUGAGGUCUGCAGCGUAGAUCCUUCGGGGCUAAAUGCAUUUGUGCUAAGUUAUAGCAUUUUAUAGACAACUUGUUGACUAUGAUUUGUCUUGUAGCUUACUCGCUUAUGUUAUUUUACCUACGCUUAGGAUGUUGACACACGCGCGUGCUCG